ACUAUAUCUGUUCUACGAACUGCGACGAACGGCAUGUAGGCUAUGUUGCUAGCUAAGUUAGCCACUUACCAGGCCACGUGUGUGUGUGGUAACAUGAGUGUUUCUACAUUUUUAGAUCACCAUUGCUGAAGAUACAUGUUGAGAACAGUCCAGUGAUCGCACUGUUUGUCUAUUAUCAGAAUAAAUCAGCUCAACUGG